rnacentral:piRNA from 1 species
UGAUACUUCGUGAUAUGCAUGGGGAA